AUACGGAGGGUGCAAACGUUGCUCGGAAUCAUUGGGCGUAAAGCGCACGUAGGCGGCGGGGUAUGUCGGGUGUGAAAGCCCUCGGCUUAACCGAGGAAGUGCAUCCGAAACUGCCUGGCUUGAGUAUGGGAGAGGGUAGCGGAAUUCCCGGUGUAGAGGUGAAAUUCGUAGAUAUCGGGAGGAACACCAGUGGCGAAGGCGGCUACCUGGACCAAUACUGACGCUGAGGUGCGAAAGCGUGGGGAGCAAACAGGAUUAGAAACCCGGGUAGUCC
rnacentral:rRNA from 1 species